UACGUAGGGUGCAAGCGUUGUCCGGAAUUAUUGGGCGUAAAGAGCUCGUAGGCGGUCUGUUGCGUCGGCUGUGAAAACCCGAGGCUCAACCUCGGGCCUGCAGCCGAUACGGGCAGACUAGAGUUCGGCAGGGGAGACUGGAAUUCCUGGUGUAGCGGUGAAAUGCGCAGAUAUCAGGAGGAACACCGGUGGCGAAGGCGGGUCUUUGGGCCGAUACUGACGCUGAGGAGCGAAAGCGUGGGGAGCGAACAGG
rnacentral:rRNA from 1 species